GACAAGUAGUCGUCGGAUUCUAACCACUUAAAAAUUGCUUCUGUUCUCCUGAUACUUACCAAUGGCUUCUGUUUCCAGCAAGGUUUUGUUAUUCAUGUUGGUUCUUGUGGCCUAUUCAUCGUUUGUUAAUGUCGAAGCAUCUCGGUCUGUAGAAGGUGCCGGUCAAUCUGUUGUUAUCAACCUCAAGAGUCUCGCUCCCGGUCAUGUUCUCACUACUGCUUGCGAUUGGCAAUGUCGUGGUUGUUGCCAAUGCAGAAUUCAUGCUGACGGUAGAACACAAUGCACGGAUUGCUGUCAGUAGGCUUGAUACCUUUAUCUAAUUUAGCACGAAAUAAAACCAUGUAAACCUUGUCUUCAUUUUCUUUCUUCUGAAAUUAAGAAAGUUAAUAACAUAUGUAAUCCGGUCGGAGUACAAGAUUUUUAUGGAUAUUUUUCGAAGUUUUAUUCGA